rnacentral:tmRNA from 1 species
GGGGACGACAUGGUUUCGACGGGGGACCGAGUAUCGUAGAUGGCAUGCCGAGGUUGCCUGGCGCCUCGUAAAAUAGUCGGGCAAAAAAUUAAAUGCAGAUGAUUAUGCAUACGCUCUGGCUGCCUAAUUUAGCGUAGCCACGUUCUUCUAAUCGGUGCCAUCCCGGUUAGAAUGAACGACGACAAUGAUGGCUGGUCUGCUUUUGUGCCUGGCAAAGGCAGGCGAGAUGCUUCCAGGCUGGCUGCGAAACGGCUUUGUUUGUUGGGCCCGAAGCAGCGAGAUUCAACCAACAAACUAAGCAUGUAGAGGUCUACGGGGCUUGUCCUUCGGACGCGGGUUCGAUUCCCGCCGUCUCCACUU